GACGAACGCUGGCGGCGUGCCUAACACAUGCAAGUCGAACGGAAAGGCCCUGCUUUUGUGGGGUGCUCGAGUGGCGAACGGGUGAGUAACACGUGAGUAACCUGCCCUUUACUUUGGGAUAACUUCAGGAAACUGGGGCUAAUACCGGAUAGGAGCUCCUGCUACAUGGUGGGGGUUGGAAAGUUUCGGAGGUUGGGGAUGGACUCGCGGUUUAUCAUCUUGUUGGUGGGUUAGUGGCUUACCAAGGCAUCGACGGGUAGCCGGCCUGAGAGGGUGACAGGCCACAAUGGGACAGAGGUAGGGCCCGGAGUGCUACGGGAGGAAGCGGUGAGAGAUUUUGCACGAUGGGCGGCGGGCUGGUGCAGCAACGCCGCGUGCGGGAAGACUGCCUUCGGAUUGUAAACCGCGUGCGACUGUAAAGAAGCGUGAGUGACGGUAAUGAGUAAAAAAGGACCGGCUAACUACGUG
rnacentral:rRNA from 1 species